rnacentral:misc_RNA from 1 species
AGGAUUCUUUGGGGAAUACCAGGUUUUCUUUCUUGGUUGCUUGAUUAUUUAAUAUAUUUCUGGUCUAACACUGGAUAUGUGAAGUGAUGUUUACGAAGUUAUUGAAGCUAUCCCUUGAAUAUGAUAUUUCUUUUCCCUUUCGUUGUGAUCAUUUUGGUGUCAAGUCAAGGACACAGAACAAAAGGUUGGUUACUUAACAUUAGAAACAGAACCCUCAAUCUGUUUCCCAAAUGGUUGCAAAAAUUUGUCUAUCUUCUUAGCAUUUGCAUAUAGAAAGUUCGUAUUUGAAACAGAAUGACUUUUCAUGUUCCAACUAACUGAUAUGGUAUACCUAAGCCAAACUUGUUGCAAAUAAAUCAAGGGGCAGGUAUGAAUGCUUUCUCUUCUGCAGAUAACUACCUAUCAUGUGUUAUGGCCCAAUGUUCGGGAUCAAGUUAUUGAAACAAGGACUGUGAAAUCAAAAUCUGGGUUGGUGGUGGCUUUUUGUUUACUUUCUUUUCUUGCUUGGUUACCUAUGAUUUGCAACAUUGGAAAGAACCCUUCGAUCUCAGGAACUUAUGUUUGUGGAAAUAAACUUCUUUUAAUUCACUCCAUUUUCCUCAUAAAUAUUCACAGAACUAAAAUUUGGAAUAACUGUAAAGAAGGAAACUGGCUCAUGUUUAUAGCAUACAUGACAGGCUUACAACUGAAACAUAACAAUUAACAACUGAACAAUUAAAAGUUAUGGAAUUAUAUAUGCUUCCUUAGAAAUUUGAAACCUUUUCUCAUUGGUGUUUACAUUACUUUUGUUUAUUGC